rnacentral:lncRNA from 1 species
AGACACUUGGCAGAGAGCUGUUGGAGCAGGCCAGCGGUGAGAUCAUUCGCGUGUCUUAGGUCCGGAUGGGCUGGAGCGCCAGGAUAGACCAGAAGUACAUGUAAUUCAGAUAGGACAAGAAGCCUUGUGGAGAGGAAGAGGGCACAGGAGAUGAGACACAGAGUUCACCCACCCAAUCCCAAUCACAGUCCUGUCCCCAGGCCCAAUUGCAUGCCCUGCUCUGCAUCAAACCCCAUCCCCAAACCUAUUCUUAAACCCAUCACCAAUUCCAUUCCAUACCCUAACCUAUUCCCAAACCCAUCUCCAAACCGAAACUCACCUUCAUCCCCUACACUGUCCCUAACCCAUACGCAAACUCCAACCCAGUCCCAUCCCCAUUAUCCAGCCCCAUGUGCAUCCCCAAUCCCGCCUCCCACUUCAGUCACUUCCUAUCUAGCCCUGUCCACAACCCCACCCCGUCCCAAAUGCUAUCCCAAAUGCUAUUCCUGUCUGCAUCCCUGAACCCAUACCCAAAGCCAACCUCAUCCUCUCCCAUACCAGUCAUCAGGAAGAGGAAGACACUGGCCCAGGUCAGGUAGAAGCUGAGUGCCAGCUGGUAGGUCAUGCCUUCCUGCAGGUACCUGUGGGCCUGCAGCAGGUAGAACAGGAUACCCAGUACGAUGCUGGUUCCUGCAUGAGCACAGGUGUUAGGAGGCUGAGAAUCAGAUAUGUAAGGACUCCUUCCCAUAGUCAUGUGGCUGCCUGGCUCUGGCUCAUUAUUUCCCCACUUUCUUUAACCUCCCAGACCCUGUACCUUUGCUCCUAAGCAUGAAGAUGGGCUUCUGACCAAGUCCUGCUAGAGGACACUGAAAGGGCAAGCCUUGGGCUUUAACCAGGCAAUGGAAAAUUUAAAUUGGGCUCCAGAGAAGAGACAUUGAGACUGAUACUUCCAGCACUGAGGAUCUACCUCUAGAAGUCUAGCUCAGAACUUGGCCUCCGGCCUGGGCACUGCCUCAUACCUGCCAGAAUUGAUCUCAAUGGAGCUGCACAAUGAGAGGUUUUGCAUGUUGUCUAGAGGACUUUGGUUGAGUUCAGAGCUGAGCACACUUGCCUUCAGACUCUCCUGGGACUCCCAGUUCUCAUCCAUAUGAGCAAGGGCUUCAUGUUACUGGCCGUGGCCCUGUGCUGAGUCCUCCUCCCGCCCAUGGCCCUCUCCUCCUGGCCAGUGGUCCUCCGCCUGAACAUGGCCGACUUUGUCUUCAGUUUCCUCUGCCUCGGCAUUGGGCUCCUGAUUUCUCUUCAGCCUGACGCUCUUUUCAGUUAACGGCAAGGCGGUGCACCCAAGUCCGGUGGUGUCCUACCUGGUGACCUCCUACCUGUGCUGGGACGCCAGCGACUUGAUGCUGCACUCCGGAGCCGUGUCCUACCUAAGCCCAGUGGGCAUGUGAAGCAGAGGGCAGCCCUUGAAUGCGCGGCGGCUGAGCUACCGCGGGUGGGCCGUGCAGCAGGGCGCAGCGAGGCGGACAUCCAAACAGCGGAACUCAGACGCUGACUCCGAGCGCACCCCGGGCCUUCCCAUUUCAUACACCCUCGAGGAUGAGACCCAAGCACCUCCAAGGAAUAGCACCCGAGGUCUUCAGGACACCGACCGGUAGCCAUGGCCAGAUGCCCGGCCAACCCCUUCAGCGUGGCCACGCCCUGGAUAUUCGACCUCCCCUGAGGCCCCACCCCCUGAUAUCAGGCCACGCCCUCCGAGGGGACCGGUGGCAAACUCCAGCCCUCGCUCUAGGGCCCGCCCUUUGCGGCUUUGUCCCUGCCCACUGGGUCCUCACAGUACCUCCACCCCAGAGGCCCAGCAUCCCCUCCCGUUCUGCAGACACUUGUCCAGCGUCCCGCUGAGCUCGGCAGUGUGGCUAGUUUGUGUGGCCCUGCCCCUGGUGCCCAGCCAGGGUGGUCUGCAUGGAACUUCUUUCCCGGAGUUCCGGCCUCAGCUCCGAUGUCCACCCUUGUCCCCAGGUGGACACAGCACCGCCCAGCAUUUGGUGCAACUCCACCCUUCUGCAGAACGGGCCCCUCCCUGGGAAGGCAUGGCUUGCAAUAACAUCCCUCUGUACCUUUUCUGGCUUCCCCGCCACAAUAAAACCUCUCAGCCUCAGACCUUCCAUUGCCCCCCACCUCCCCACCAGGGCAGGGUCCAUCCUAGUGUGAGUGAACUGUUCUGGCGUCCCUGACUUGCCCUUUGGGA